CACACACACACACACACACACACGCCUGUAUUUGUGAAACAAGUACCUUUCUGGCCCUGGUGGUAGACAGACAAAUCUCAUGUCAACUAUAGUGGGCCCUACCACCUGGUCUGAUAGCUGCAGUAGAACUCUGAGGUAGGACUUCUCUGCCCUGCCUUGAUCCAACCAUGAGCUAUAGGCUCCUAAGCUGUGUGGCCUUCUGCCUCUUGGGAGUAGGCCCUUUGGAGACGGCUGUUUUCCAGACUCCAAAGCAUCGUGUCGCACAGGUGGGAAGUGAAGUGUUCUUCAAGUGUGAUCAGACUCUGGGCCACGAUACUAUGUACUGGUACAAGCAAGACUCUAAGCAAUUGCUGAAGGUUAUGUUUAGCUACAACAAUAAGCAACGCAUUUUAAAUGAAACGGCUUCAAGUCGCUUCUUGCCUCAGUCUUCAGAUAAAGCUCAUUUGAAUCUUCGUAUCAAGUCUGUAGAGCCGGGUGACUCUGCUGUGUAUCUCUGUGCCAGCAGCUAAGACACAGUUGUGCACAGUCACUGUUUCCCUGUGCACAAACCCAGCCAGCCAGGAAGCAGUGCAGGCCAAGUGCUAGCCCACACCUGAGGCUCACCCCCAGUGCUUUUGAAGCAUUAGUGGUAUUUCAGUUUGAAGUCCAGCUUCCUAUGAUAAUACAGGAGGUGAACCAAUUCUGUGUUUUAUGCACAGAUGAAUCUCACAGAAUUCUGCAGAUUAGCCAGAAUGGUAGUUCACAUCAUAGUCACCCAAGUAGCUAAGCUUUGCCAACAGUGAAUGACCUUGGAGAUUUUAACUGCUGAGAGAAGACACUGCUUGUUAAUUUCGGCUGUGUGUGUAUGUUGCCUGUAACAUAAGGAUCAAAGGCAGAUGGUUUCUACAUAUAAGGGAUAUGAUACUAAAGGACCCGGCAAAGUAACUGGUUCUAAGCCUCCAUGGGAAAUUCAGAUUAUCACUGAGAUUUUGUUUUAAGAAAAAGGUAUCUGGAGAAACAUGAAUGCCCAUGGCCCUAGAAAAGAAAAGGUGAAGGAGAAAUCAUUUGAGUCAGGCUUGUACAGGCUUAUCACUACUCUGUUACCUUUCAACAAUCUGAAAACAGACAGCAGUGAAUGCCGGAGGAUAGUUUGGGAGACAGAAGGACUUUAGCUGCAAAUGUCCAUGCACUAGUUAAUUGUUGAGCCUACUGAUGUGACAUAAUACUGGUGGGAGCACUGCACAAAUGGUCCUUGCACCCACAGAUUUGCAGAACAACCAGAAAUGCUAAGCACACACAAUUGUCUUCUCAGAAAAAUGGACAUAAAGGCUGCUCUUCCAUCGAGAAAGCUGGAAAUUGGAGGAAAUUAAUAUCCCGGUGAUCUGUAUUGUCUGUUAGGCCAGGUUGUAUCAAACUUCUACAACUAAGACUGGAGGUAAAUACUAAUCUAAAUGAUCCUGACAUUAGCUAUACAGCCAGGGACUUCCACAAUCUCCCCCAACCAGGAUGAGAAGUACCUAAUAGUCUAAAUGACCCUUACAUUAUCUGCAAAGCCGGAGGCUUUCCCAUGCUUCCACAGCCAGGACCAGAGGUUGGUUAAUAAUAGCCCAUAUGCUAUCUGUAUGACCAAGACCUGGACAGGUUCUUCUUUAGGUUCUUAAGCUAGUAAAGGUAGAACCCAUCUUCCUGGAAGAAAUGGCAUGCACCCCGGGUUAAGUUUCAUUGUAAUUAUGUUUCCUGUGCACUUUCCCUAGAUUAUACUGCGUUAUAUUCAUUAGGAAUAAACCAACUGUCAUCAGACUCCCUGAAGUUUGAUCCAGUUUGGCAAAGACAACCUGAAGCAAGUUUUUAUUUUCACUUCUUUGCAAUUCGCUUUUCUGCCUGCUGCCACCACCUGCAGGGUCACCACAACAUAUGAUCAAAUUUGGGUUUUGGUACAGUACAACAGCAGUAUGGUCUAGGUGGGUGAAACUCAAAUAACUAUUCUGAAAGACAAAUAGUAAAGCAGUUGGUGUGCACUGCUGUUAGUGAAGCAGUGUGGAUGCUCCGAGUUUCAUACGUUCUGGUAGAAGUGCUGUUUUAUCCUCGUUUUUGAAUGCAUUUGGAAGGGUCAAGUUCAGCAUUGUUCUCAUUAUUAGGUAGCCCUAGCAUGGAGCUAGUAUUGCCAGGAAACAGACUUCCCAUGGAAAUCAAAGUGUACUUGUCAGUGUCUCUCCUACGUAGUGGGGUCUGAAUGGCAGAGUCUUCCAUUCCUAAGUGUCUGAUGAAAACUCUUCUCAGCUUUCCAGCCUUCGCGAUGGUUCUCCACUGUGCCUUCAGGUAGCCCAUGCUCUGCACACGCAAACUGAGCAGUGUUUGUCACUGCCCUUGCACUUCUCUGUGCCACAAGUUCUAGCUGUAUUGGAUUUUUUAACUUCAAGCACUAUGCAUUAUGGUAACUUUUCAAUCUAAGCACAACAGUAAGUGAAUGCUCCAAUUUACCGAAGGAUUGCGGAUCAUUUCACUGUUUUUAUUUGUAUCCUUACAUUUCCUAGACUAAAAGCAAAAACUCAACACUUUCCUUAAAACACGUUGGAAUAAUCACAUUGCAAUGAAUAUGUAGCAAUGAAUAUCCUAGUAAGAGCACCAGUGGAAGGGGAAGCCCUUGGUCCUGCCAAGACUGAACCCCCA